rnacentral:rRNA from 1 species
UCCUGGUGUUCAUCGCGAUGUGGACCCACUCCGAUCCAUCCCGAACUCGGUUGUGAAACGCAUCAGCGGCGACGAUAUUUGGGGGGAAGCCCCCUGAGAAAAUAGCUCAAUGCC